rnacentral:rRNA from 1 species
GAUAAACGCUGGCGGCGUGCUUAACACAUGCAAGUCGAACGAAGUUUUUCCUUCGGGAGAAACUUAGUGGCGGACGGGUGAGUAACGCGUGGGUAACCUGCCCUGUACAGGGGGACAACAGCUGGAAACGGCUGCUAAUACCGCAUAAGCCCUUAGCACUGCAUGGUGCAUAGGGAAAAGGAGCAAUCCGGUACAGGAUGGACCCGCGUCUGAUUAGCCAGUUGGCAGGGUAACGGCCUACCAAAGCGACGAUCAGUAGCCGAUCUGAGAGGAUGUACGGCCACAUUGGGACUGGGACACGGCCCAGACUCCUACGGGAGGCAGCAGUGGGGAAUAUUGCACAAUGGAGGAAACUCUGAUGCAGCGACGCCGCGUGAGUGAAGAAGUAUUUCGGUAUGUAAAGCUCUAUCAGCAGGGAAGAAAAUGACGGUACCUGACUAAGAAGCACCGGCUAAAUACGUG